UGGGGAAUAUUGCACAAUGGGCGCAAGCCUGAUGCAGCCAUGCCGCGUGUAUGAAGAAGGCCUUCGGGUUGUAAAGUACUUUCAGUCGGGAGGAAGGUGUCAAGGUUAAUAACCUUGGCAAUUGACGUUACCGACAGAAGAAGCACCGGCUAACUCCGUGCCAGCAGCCGCGGUAAUACGGAGGGUGCAAGCGUUAAUCGGAAUUACUGGGCGUAAAGCGCACGCAGGCGGUUUGUUAAGUCAGAUGUGAAAUCCCCGGGCUCAACCUGGGAACUGCAUCUGAUACUGGCAAGCUUGAGUCUCGUAGAGGGGGGUAGAAUUCCAGGUGUAGCGGUGAAAUGCGUAGAGAUCUGGAGGAAUACCGGUGGCGAAGGCGGCCCCCUGGACAAAGACUGACGCUCAGGUGCGAAAGCGUGGGGAGCAAACAGG
rnacentral:rRNA from 1 species